rnacentral:rRNA from 1 species
GAAGCGGCAACAGCUCAAAUUUGAAAUCUGGCGCAAGCCCGAGUUGUAAUUUGUAGAGGAUGCUUCUGGGCAGCGGCCGGUCUAAGUUCCUUGGAACAGGACGUCACAGAGGGUGAGAAUCCCGUAUGUGAUCGGUUGGCACCCGCUACGUAGCUCCUUCGACGAGUCGAGUUGUUUGGGAAUGCAGCUCUAAAUGGGAGGUAAAUGCCUUCUAAAGCUAAAUACCGGCCAGAGACCGAUAGCGCACAAGUAGAGUGAUCGAAAGAUGAAAAGCACUUUGGAAAGAGAGUUAAACAGCACGUGAAAUUGUUGAAAGGGAAGCGCAUGCAACCAGACUUGUCCGCGGUGUUCCGCCGGUCUUCUGACCGGUCUACUCGCCGCGAGCAGGCCAGCAUCAUCUGGGAGCGCCGGAUAAAGGUAGCGGGAAUGUGGCCCCUCGGGGUGUUAUAGCUCGCUACACAAUACGGCGCCUCCCGGGUGAGGUCCGCGCUUCGGCUAGGAUGCUGGCGUAAUGGUUGUAUGCGGCCCGUCUUGAAACACGGACCAAGGAGUCUACCAUCUAUGCGAGUGUUCGGGUGUCAAACCCCUACGCGCAAUGAAAGUGAACGGAGGUGGGAACCGCAAGGUGCACCAUCGACCGAUCCUGAUGUCUUCGGAUGGAUUUGAGUAAGAGCAUAGCUGGUGGGACCCGAAAGAUGGUGAACUAUGCCUGAAUAGGGUGAAGCCAGAGGAAACUCUGGUGGA